UUUAAAAAGUGCUAGGGAUAUGGCUCAAUGGUUAAGUGCCCCUGGGUUCAAUCUCUGGUACCAAAAAAAAAAAAAAAAAGUUUUGUGCUUCAUAUGGUUACAGGGUAUUCUUAUGGACUUAUGAAAAACUUUUAAAACCAGAGAACAGAUUGUUGCAUAUUAUAAAUACACUAAAUAAUGCCACUGGAUUGUACACUUAUAAAUGGUUACUUAUAUUCAUGUGACUUGAAUGUAAAUAAGUUUAAAAAAAAAAAAAGACGAGCGAAAAGGAGCCAAAAGAUAAUGAUAGGAAAAGAUGUUCAGUUCCAUUGAUAAUGCAAAUUACAACCAAAAUGAGAUAUUACUAAGUGUACUAGAUAAAAAGUUCAGUGAUUCCAAAUGUUUGCAAAGGUGUAGAGCAAUCAAUGGGCAAACAUAUACUAUUGGAAGUAGAAACUCAUACAACCACUUUGAAAGAGUUUACUAUUUUCUAGGUGAACAUGCAUUUCCCUAUGGUCCCAGUAAUUCCUCUGCUAGGAGAAAACAUGUCCUAGAAUGUUCAGCAAAAAGCUAGAAACAUAAUUGUCCAUUAAAAUAUAUUGUAUAAAAUACACUAAUAUAGGGCUGGGGUUGUGGCUCAGUGGUAGAGUGCUCACAUAGUAUGUGUGUCUGAGACACUGGGUUCCAUCCUCAGCACCACAUAAAAACAAAUAAAUAAAAUAAAGGUAUUGUGUCCAUCUAUAACAAAAAUAUUGAAAAAAAUACACUAAUAUAUAGUUAUAAAGUUUAUGAAAUGAAGUUACAUGGCAGAGAAAAUUAGCAAGAUAUACCUUAAUUAUUCAACAUGAAUUAAUUAAUAACUAAAGGUAACAAAUGGAUAGUGUGAUUCACUUUAUAUAUAGUUUAAAAACAGGCAAAACUAAAUAUUCUUUCAGAAGUCAUAUAAAGUUGAUAAAAAAUUUUAAAAUUACAGAGGAAUGGUUUUUGCAAAAUUCAGCUUCACAGUUACACCUCAGUGGGAAGUGAAAGAGAUUAAUUGGUUUGAGCAGGCAGAGAGCUUUCAAGUAUCAGCAAUGUUUCAUUACUUUAAACUUCAUGAUGACAGCAGCACCCCAGAAGCUUCUUCUGAUGGUUUUGCUAGCAAAUGUUUCUGAAUUCAACAAAUUGGUAAAGAUAAUGAGGAUAAUCACAGCCAUGAUUUCAGCUCCAGGAGAAGAGAGAUACAAAAGUAGAAAAGGUACUACUACCAGUAACCUGUUUGUUGCCUCCAAGUCCAAUACUUUGAAGCUCAUGAAUGAAUUGAGAAAAACUGAAUGUCAUGGUUCUGCUUAACUGCAAACUAAAGUUAUUGGUCUUGGGAAAGAACAUGUGCGUGUGAAUGGAAUUCAUGUUCUAUGGCACAUCAGCAAGUGAAUUUCCAAGACUUUUCUCUUAUAAACUAACUGUUCAAGUUAGUAAAUGGUCAUUUCAAUUUUUCUAUUAUUUUUGCUUUUCUUGAAGAAGAUGGAAGGAAAGAGAGAGGAAAAGUAUUAAAAGAAGAAAGAAAAGAAAGGAAACUUGUCAUAGUUCCUUAUUAUAAAAAAGCACAGGUUCUAUAUAGAGAGUUACGAAAAAUUAUACUGUGAAUGGAUAAUUAUGAAUGUAAUGCACUCCACUAUUGUCAUGUAUGUAAGAAAUAAAUAAAAAACAAACAAAAAAAACCA